GGCAGCGAAGUGGGUGACGUCAAGCUUCCAAGAAAAGCCCUACACCCGUUAAGGCAUGAUGGCCUGUACCCGAAACCGACACAGGUGGGGUGGUAGAGAAUACCGAGGGGCGCGAGGUAACUCUCUCUAAGGAACACGGCAAAUGGCCCCGUAACUUCGGGAGAAGGGGUGCCACCGCAAGGUGGUCGCAGUGAAGAGGCCCAGGCGACUGUUUACCAAAAACACAGGUCUCCGCUAAGUCGCAAGACGAUGUAUGGGGGCUGACGCCUGCCCAGUGCCGGAAGGUUAAGGAAGCUGGUCAGCGCAAGCGAAGCUGGCGACUGAAGCCCCGGUGAACGGCGGCCGUAACUAUAACGGUCCUAAGGUAGCGAAAUUCCUUGUCGGGUAAGUUCCGACCCGCACGAAAGGCGUAACGAUCUGGGCGCUGUCUCGGAGAGAGGCUCGGCGAAAUAGAAUUGUCUGUGAAGAUGCGGACUACGUGCACCCGGACAGAAAGACCCUAUGAAGCUUUACUGUAGCUUGGUAUUGUGCCCGGGCUCUGAAUGCGCAGGAUAGGUGGGAGGCUUUGAUCCAUUGCUUGUGGGUGAUGGUGAGCCAACGGUGAGAUACCACUCUUUCAGAGCUAGGGUUCUAACGGUCACCCGUUAUCCGGGGACCGGACAGUAUCAGGUGGGCAGUUUGACUGGGGCGGUCGCCUCCUAGAAGGUAACGGAGGCGCGCAAAGGUUCCCUCAGGCUGGUUGGAAAUCAGCCGAUGAGUGUAAAGGCAGAAGGGAGCUUGACUGUGAGACCUACAAGUCGAACAGGGACGAAAGUCGGCCUUAGUGAUCCGACGGUUCUGAGUGGAAGGGCCGUCGCUCAACGGAUAAAAGUUACUCUAGGAUAACAGGCUGAUCUCCCCCAAGAGUUCACAUCGACGGGGAGGUUUGGCACCUCGAUGUCGGCUCAUCGCAACCUGGGGCUGAAGUCGGUCCCAAGGGUUGGGCUGUUCGCCCAUUAAAGCGGUACGCGAGCUGGGUUCAGAACGUCGUGAGACAGUUCGGUCCAUAUCCGGUGCAUGCGCAGGAAUAUUGAGAGGAUUUCUUCCUAGUACGAGAGGACCGGGAGGAACGCACCUCUGGUGUACCAGUUAUCGUGCCAACGGUAAACGCUGGGUAGCCAUGUGCGGAGUGGAUAACCGCUGAAAGCAUCUAAGUGGGAAGCCCACCUCAAGAUGAGUAUUCCCAUGGCGUUAGCCAGUAAGGUCACGGGCAGAACACCCGUUGAUAGGCUCUACGUGGAAGCCGGGUAACCGGUGAAGCGGAGGAGUACUAAUAGACCGAGGGCUUGACCAG
rnacentral:rRNA from 1 species